UACGUAGGGCGCAAGCGUUAUCCGGAAUCAUUGGGUUUAAAGGGUUCGCAGGCGGCUCGAUAAGUCAGUGGUGAAAUCCCAUAGCUCAACUAUGGAACUGCCAUUGAUACUGUCGAGCUUGAAUAUAGUUGAAGUAGGCGGAAUGUGUAGUGUAGCGGUGAAAUGCUUAGAUAUUACACAGAACACCGAUAGCGAAGGCAGCUUACUAAACUAUUAUUGACGCUCAUGAACGAAAGCGUGGGGAGCGAACAGG
rnacentral:misc_RNA from 1 species